rnacentral:rRNA from 1 species
UGAGGAACAUGACCUUCGGCGGGGGAUAGCCGGCCCAACGGCCGGGUAAUACCGCGUACGACCACAUGGGGACAUCCCUGAGUGGUGAAAGCAGCAAUGCGCCGAUGGAGUGCCUCGCGGCCUAUCAGCUAGUUGGUGAGGUAACGGCUCACCAAGGCAACGACGGGUAGCUGGUCUGAGAGGAUGGCCAGCCACAUUGGGACUGAGACACCGGCCCAGACU